AUAAAGUUUUCAAACCGUUUCCUAUUGACAUUGAGUUCUCCUACUUGACCUUGGUUAUGCCAAGGUUUUU
rnacentral:ncRNA from 17 species